rnacentral:precursor_RNA from 12 species
CCUACUGGCUCAGCUUUCCUCUAAAUUAUUUGGGAUCUCAGGGUAAAGCUGCAAUUUAAAGCAUGUAGUUGUCAGCUGGACCUUGAAUAUCCUAUAUAAUCUUGGAUGCUUUAUAUAAGGAGUCAAA